CUGUCUUCCACAGUAUUCUCCUGAAGAAGCUGGCAGCCCGUGGCUUGGACAGAAGUCUGUGCUGGAGCUAUUAAUGCUGAGCUCUGACUGCUGACCCACGGUGUAACUCCUGAAGGCAUCAUUUCCUUAAGCUAGCAGAGCAGUGUUAUCCAUUGAAAUUGAGAGUGUACAGGAAGUUCAUUUGAAGCAGGCAUUUCUUACUGCAAAGGAAAUCCAUCUCCUUCUAUGAAAAAGUCAUCUGGUAAUUUACUGUAUCAGGAAUCCAACAAGAAUCUCCUGUUCUUCCCUUGGUAUAGGUGUGAGAGAGUUGUUCUGACCCUUAACAUUGCUCAUUUGAUUAGCUGAGAAUGAAAGAAGGGGAUGGACUCUUAAAUGUCUAAUUAGCUCUUCUCCUCAGCAGUUUUGAACAAGUCUAUUUGCAUCACAUUUAGCAUACAGCAGCUGUUGUUCAAGGAUAUUUCCCUGAAUGUCAAAUAAAUCUAUACUUCAUUCACUUUUUUUCUGAGAUGAUUUUUUCUAAAACUGUGUUAUCAGGAUCUUUUGGAAUCUACAUGAUACUGAUUGUGGUGCUGAAGGUUAAAGAAACCUCUCAGAUAAAGGCUUUAUAUUUUGUGCAUUGAUUCUCCUGUAUGAUUCUGCUUUCUCACAAGCCACUGUUUAAACUGAAGUAGAUGACACAGCUGAAGGUGUUGAGAAGAGCUAAGACAUGCUAUUUGGAAACAAAGCUGUCUGUUCCUUUUCUCCAAACGAACACCAACUGAAGACAAUAGGUACAAACACUAGACUCCUAUCGAUGAGUCAAAUUCUAUUUGAGAUCAUCUUUCCUUAAGUUUAGGAAUCCUGUCAGCUGAAGAAAAAUUA